GGGAGAAAGAUUUAUCGGGAAAGGAUGAGCCCGCGUUGGAUUAGCUAGUUGGUGGGGUAAAGGCCUACCAAGGCGACGAUCCAUAGCUGGUCUGAGAGGAUGAUCAGCCACAUUGGGACUGAGACACGGCCCAAACUCCUACGGGAGGCAGCAGUGGGGAAUAUUGGACAAUGGGCGCAAGCCUGAUCCAGCCAUGCCGCGUGAGUGAUGAAGGCCCUAGGGUUGUAAAGCUCUUUCACCGGAGAAGAUAAUGACGGUAUCCGGAGAAGAAGCCCCGGCUAACUUCGUGCCAGCAGCCGCGGUAAUACGAAGGGGGCUAGCGUUGUUCGGAAUUACUGGGCGUAAAGCGCACGUAGGCGGAUCGAUCAGUCAGGGGUGAAAUCCCAGGGCUCAACCCUGGAACUGCCUUUGAUACUGUCGAUCUGGAGUAUGGAAGAGGUGAGUGGAAUUCCGAGUGUAGAGGUGAAAUUCGUAGAUAUUCGGAGGAACACCAGUGGCGAAGGCGGCUCCCUGGUCCAUUACUGACGCUCAGGUGCGAAAGCGUGGGGAGCAAACAGGAUUAGAUACCCUGGUAGUCCACGCCCUAAACGAUCAA
rnacentral:rRNA from 1 species